AGGAGCCAGGCAGACUGCUAUCUUCACUUUAUACAAGGACAAACUGAAUGAUGGACCGAGCAAAACUUGAAUGCAUGAUACACAGUAUUGAAAAUACUACUUGAGAAGACCCAAGGAGAACAUGAGAAGACAUGAGACACACCCACAACCUAGUGGGUGGAAGAGACAUGGGAUGGCAACUCAGUACACUACUAACAGACAUUUUAGACCAUGUUUAAAUCCUCUCCCAGAUACCAGUUAUAUCCAAAGUGGGACAUAAAGCACAGCAAAGCAACACUAACUUCUGAAUAUUCUUACAGCCAAGUACAUGUUCUGUAUGUUUUGGAAAACAAGCCAUCUACCUCCUGUCUACACAGUUUAGAUGGUU
rnacentral:lncRNA from 1 species